rnacentral:rRNA from 1 species
CCAGCACUAAAGCAUCGGAUCCCAUCAGAACUCCGAAGUUAAGCGUGCUUGG